rnacentral:rRNA from 1 species
CAGCAGCCACGGUAAUACGGAGGGUGCAAGCGUUAAUCGGAAUUACUGGGCGUAAAGCGUGCGUAGGCGGUGAGUUAAGUCUGCUGUGAAAUCCCCGGGCUCAACCUGGGAAUGGCAGUGGAUACAGGCUCGCUAGAGUGUGUCAGAGGAUGGUGGAAUUCCCGGUGUAGCGGUGAAAUGCGUAGAGAUCGGGAGGAACAUCAGUGGCGAAGGCGGCCAUCUGGGACAACACUGACGCUGAGGCACGAAAGCGUGGGGAGCAAACAGGAUUAGAGACCCCGGUAGUCCCUGUCUCUUAUAA